UACGGAGGGCGCGAGCGUUAAUCGGAAUCACUGGGCGUAAAGGGCGUGUAGGCGGCGAGACAAGUGGGAUGUGAAAGCCCCGGGCUCAACCUGGGAACGGCAUCUCAAACUGUUUGGCUAGAGUACGGUAGAGGGGGGUAGAAUUCCAGGUGUAGCGGUGAAAUGCGUAGAGAUCUGGAGGAAUACCGGUGGCGAAGGCGGCCCCCUGGACUGAUACUGACGCUGAGGCGCGAAAGCGUGGGGAGCAAACAGG
rnacentral:misc_RNA from 1 species